rnacentral:rRNA from 1 species
CGGACCUCCAAUCAGUCAAGAUUACCCGCUGA